GAUCCUGGCUCAGGAUGAACGCUGACAGAAUGCUUAACACAUGCAAGUCAACUUGAACUUCGGUUUGGGUGGCGGACGGGUGAGUAACGCGUAAAGAACUUGCCUCACAGCUAGGGACAACAUUUGGAAACGAAUGCUAAUACCUGAUAUUAUGAUUUUAGGGCAUCCUAGAAUUAUGAAAGCUAUAUGCGCUGUGAGAGAGCUUUGCGUCUCAUUAGCUAGUUGGAG
rnacentral:rRNA from 1 species